AUAAGCCCGGGGCAGCCUUUUCAGAGUUUUAGGCCACAACUCUCCUGCCUUUGCACUAUUCUGCACCCAUGCCUGCCCACUACACAGGCCUCACUUAUGCCCCGAAUCUCCAUGCAACCAUGUCUUUGCCUCAUCACUUUUCUUGAGCAUGGAAUUCCAAUUUCUCCCCCAGUGUUCACUUCUAGAAAUCAUUUCCACCUUUUAAGAUCCAUUUCAAGUCCUACUUUCUCCAUAAAGAAUUCCCUGAUGUCCCCAGUAUGGGAGCCAUCUUCUUUCUUUGAACCCACGGCAGUUACGUUUUUUUCAGCUUUAUGCCAUAGUUCACUCAUGUCCUCAUUACAGCUUCUCUUUUAGAUUGUAAGUUUCUCAUGGGCCAGGAUGUUGUCUUGAUUUAUGUUUUUCUUGCAACUACCAGGAUGCUCUCUACACUACAUCCAUAAGACAGAAAAUAAGUGAGUCCAGUGUUCUGUUCCCCCAGCUCUGGCUGACUGGGACGGAGGGAAAUUCACAGCCUGAGGCAGCCACAUGUCUGGUUUCUGUAUUCGUAACGCUCUCUGACUGUACAUGGCAAGGGAAGGAAGAGCUCCUGUUCCACCGCUUGCAAGGCCCUAUAUAAUUUUCAAAUCUUCCCCUGUCUUUGGUGAGGAGAAUCAGUAAAAUAUUAAGUGAGUUUUCAUAAAUGAAAUGACCAUAGCAGCAAUCUCUAAAAUGAACUGAAGAGGUAAAGUGGGAAACAGGUAUAGCUGAAGAAGCAGAUAUGGGAAAGGGCAUGUGACAUGUGACAAGUGUUCCCGAAGAGCAGACGUUUACAAGUUGUGCUCAACUCCAGCGCUCCUUGGACACAAUAACACAAAACAGCUCCUGAGAUCCCCUUCUCCAGUCUUGUAUGAAGGUAGAAACCUUUCUGAAUUUGAACAGCAAGAGGAAGAAAAGACAAUGUAAGGGAGGUUGAGACUCCUGACUAUAACAAACGGGGAGUCUCUGUGAAUGGAG
rnacentral:lncRNA from 1 species